CCCUCCGCUCGCCCCGGGGUGCUGGCGGCCGGCGACGUCGCGUGCUCCCCCCGGCCGGGUUUGUGCCUUGGAGCGCGGCAGGGAGCUGGUCCCUGUGCCGGUGUCCUGACUCGCGCCUUGCUCCGUGCACCUUGCGCCGUGCCCGCUCCCCUCGCGCCUUGCUCCAUGCCGCACUCCGGCUUUUAUGCUUCCUUUAGGACCCCAACGUCGUUGCCAUCCAUAGGACUGCUGCUUUUUUAUUAUUAUUAUAUUGCUGUUGUAUUUUUUUUUUUUUAAGAUGCAAAUAAUAUUUGGAUGGGAAUCAUGGCCCAUGUUUUAUUGCCAAAUCAGGGCACACGGCUGGCUUUGAUUUGACCCCCCCCAAAGCCCUGGAGGAGAGCGCGGGGGGGGGGCUGCAGGCGAGCGCGGGCCGGGGCAUGGCGGGGGGAGCUGCUCCGCGCGCCUCUUGCCUGCUCGCGGGUUUGCAGAGCUGCUGAGCCUCCCUCGUUCUUCCCAACCUGUCACUGGGGGGAAAGCGUCCCUGCGAGGGAGCGGCAGCCUUCAUGCAGGCAAAAAAAAGUGAUGCAUCCUCAGGGGCCCCCCCGAGGCCCCGCAGCCCUCACGCGCAGCCCGGGGCCCUGCAGGCAGCCCGUCCAUGGAAGCGGCCAGCAGAAACGCUGCGGGAAUCGGCCCCUGGUUUUCUGUCGAGUCCGGCUCCAUCAAAAUUCAAACGGCUGCUGCGUUAAAAGGAGAGUGUUGCUGCUCGCCCCAAGCAGGCGCGGGGCUGGGAUCGCCGAGGGGACUCGUGAGCGAGCGCCGAAAAAUCCCCGCCAGGCACUUUGCGCUUUUUUAGUCAGAAACCUAAAAUCCCGUAGCUCGCUUUAAAAAAAACGACUUAAGCUGAAUGCUGUUGAGAAAUUGGUAGUAAUCUCCUAACGACAAUCCCAGCUUUACUAAUAAUUGAAAAGCGGUGGGUCCUGCCCCCCCCCCCCCCCGGUCCGGGGGCUUGGGCGAGGGGCUUGGGCUGCCUGUGGCACGAGCUUGCCGGCUCUCAGCUGGAGAAGGGCCCUUUUCGGGAGCAAGCGCCGGCGCUCAGCCCAUCGCCGACACGUCGUGCGUUUGUAGGAGACGGUGCUGCUGCCUCUCGCCCCGACGGCGGGCGUUCGACGGCCGCCUCCGCCUCGGCACGCCGGGCUUGGGACGGGGCGUCCGCCGGGACGGGCGCCUGGGCGGCGCAGGAGGAGCCGGUCGCAUCCCCGCGCUGCCGGGGACCUGGAGGGGACCGAGCGGCAGCAAGAAAAAUGAGGGACUUUCAGGGGCAGCUGUGUUUUACUAACCCAGUCAUAAUGCCCCUAAAAAUCCUUAUUGUUCUUGCAAUGGUCAACUGUGAGCCCGGCCCGGGGCGGCCUCGCGCGUGGGGGGCCUCGCAGGUAAGCGGUGCGUGGGGGGGCUGCCCCCUUCUCUCCUCGCCCCCCCUUCUCUCCUCGCCCCCCUUCUCUCCUCCUCCUCCAGCUGAACGCCCCGAGGUCCCUGCAGGUCUCUGCCGCUCUGCUCCCCUUCCCCAGCGCGUUGUUCCCGCUCUCAUUUCGCAGCUCAGCGUAUGAUGCAGCCGUUGCACGGGAAGCUGUCAGCUGUUAAACAACCACACUAGUCUAUUCUUUGCCAUCUUUAUGCAUUUUGACACUUUAUCUGCAUUUUCUGAGAGCUUCUGUACGUUGAGCAAACAUUUUGUUUUCAUUGCACGCUGCAGUGAUGCCAGUUUGCUCACUGCCUUCUUGGAAAGGCUUUGUUAAAACUUUUUGUGAUGUUUAUCAAUUAAUUGAUAUAUUUAUCAAUCAGUUCUGCUUUAUCUACCCGCUUUUGCCAAUAGAGUAGAAAUGCAUGUACUUUUUUCUCUGCGCUGACUGCCUGGACUUGCCUUCACACUUCGCUUUUCCCUGUUCUCACUUGGGUCGUGCAGCUCUGAAGCAAGAUUUACUCAUUUGUUGUCUGUUAUUCUCAGGAGCUUUUCCACCACUUUUCUUAAAGUUUAAUCCUUUGUAAAGGAGCAGCAGCUGGAAACCCCAGGCUGCGGCCCGGGCCGUAACCGUGCCAGGCCCAGGGACGUGCUGCCGUAGGGGCGAACCCGGAGCGGUGCCCGCUGCUGGGGAUGCCCGUCCGCGGGGAGCCCUUCCGCGGGGGCUGUUGCAGAACCGUCGCUCGACGUGGGUAAACCGGCCCCCAAACACCCCCCGCACCCCGGGGCUUCGCCAGCAGAGAGGCCAGACGAGGGGCACGUUGCUGUCAGCACCUCUGGGUUCUUCUUACCGAACCGGGGACGAGGAGACUCGCCCGCUGCAGCCCUGCAGGAGCGGCCGGAGCUCAGCCGAGAGCCUCCGUCGCGGCGGGCGGACGCCAGCACCGGGCUGCUUCUGGGACUGCUGCUGCGGGACGUCGUGUUUUGCCGCCUUUGAUUUGGGGGAUCGCCGCGUCGUGGGACGUCCUCGACCCUCUGCUCCUCUCCACGAGCAUGUCCUCACCUAGCAGCAACCCAGUCGUCACCGGAUGCUGGAACAAGAUGGAAAGGGCUGAGCGGUUCCCUCGGCAAAACGUGUGGCUGGAAUUAGUUUCCUCUGGUUUGGGUCUGGUACCUGCCAAAGCGACUAGACCCGCUCACCUCAGCUGCUAACGGGCUGGAGACCUCAACCCGCCCGAGUGGAAUAUUCGUGUGCCGAAAGCAGGAGGAUCCGGAAUGUGGUUUUGUAACUUUUUUUUCAAGUGUUUCUAUGUUACGAUUUUUAUCUUUAGUAUCUGCAUCUUGCUCCAAGUACGAGUAUUUAUAUGUUAAAAUAAAGAGUUGCUCUGGAGUGCUGCAGGGAGCUGCCCCAACGUCUCCUUCCCGUCUCGGCUCCAGCGAGGAAGAGGAGGCCAGCCCUGGAUGCGGACGUCGGCGGGAGCAGCGCACAGAGCCCGUCCCACCACGCGUCCCCGAGCCGCUGCCCGGCCGAGUGGAGCUUCACCCGCGGGCGCCGGGGGUUCGGCCGGUGGACGUGCCCGAGGAGCUGCGUCCAUGGACGGCAACCUUGCUCGCACGCCGCCUGCUCCCCCCGCGCCGGCUGCACAUGCACCUGGGGCCGGUGCUCUCUGCGCUCGCCGGGGGCAGCCGCUGGCACAUGUGUCCCCCCACGGCGGCGGGGGACCGAGGGCCCUGGGGACGCUGCCGGCCGCGGGGGGAGAGCAGCCCUGCCGCCCCCUCUUCCCCCCGGAGCACCAUCUCAGCCGGCCCAUGGGGCCACGUCCCCGUGCCCCCGCUAAGGAGCUGUGAUUUUUUUAAGGACAAUUUUUGGCUCUUUUCUGUAAGGCCGUUUAGCACCUCUGACCUGGCUGGGGAAAAUGCAGAAAUACCUAAACUAACAGCAGUAAGGGGUUUUUUGGGGAGUCAGUGUGGGGUGAUGGCAGCAGCCUCUGCUGCCCUGAGCCACCCCCCAGCCUGCCUUUGAGCUGCCCCCUCUAUUGCAUGUGAAGUAGUAGAUAUAUUAAAGUAGACCCUACAAAAACAAACCCCCCGGUACGUACACACACACACACACACACACACACACACACACACACACACACACACACACACACACGAAGCCGGAGCCGCCCUCCCCGUUGCUCUGCGCACCCAUGGGAGACGCGGAGCCUCUGGGCUGACAGCAGCGUUGCAGCAGCCCCCGAAGCCUAAACCAGCAGCAGCCCAGGGCAGGGGCUGCGGGGGGGGGGAUCCCCGCUGGGGGUGGGGGAAAGUCAAAUUGCUCCUCAAGUACCAGCAGCUCUAUUAAUGCCUUUCAAGCGGCAGGUUCCCGCGGCAGAGAGGCGGCCGCGGCGGGGGAGGCUUUCUGAGCUGCCCGGUAGCGUCAGCAGCUGCUUUCAGGGCACAGCUCCUGUCCCGGAUAAUUUCGCGUGGGACGUUCAAUCAAACGGCAAGCGCCCGUCAGCCGCGUGAGCGGGACUCGACCCGUACAGGAAAUACACUUUGCAGGCAAAGGUGCUGCGUGCUUUCGCUGGAGCCCUUUGCUACGUUGCUGCAGCUCCGGAUGAAUAGCUGCUUCACGCAGGAACUAUGGUUAUUAAGUCAAACUUCACUUUCCUUACAGUUUAAACGUUUAAUUUUUUGGAAGACUGGUGAAAUCCAGGCUCUCAAGAAUCCUGUCGUUUUUGGCACAUUGCUCGGUUUUGUCCUUUUAAUUGGACCAGGUUUGGCCCCGUUUAAACGCGAGAGCGUUUGCAGGAGCUGGUGGGAAGCGAGCGGGUUGGCCGGCCUUCGCGAGAGCCGGACCCCGUCGCGGUGCCCAGUUCGCACUGCUGGGGGGCCAAGGGCUGGCGGCCGGGGCUUUGUAAGGGGGGAAACCCCAAACCCUCUCCCGGCCCCCCCGCGAAACAGCCUUCCCCGAGGCGCAGGCCAAGCGCCCGGCUGGUUCAGGAGGUUGGGGCGUGUGCGCUUGCCGUGAAGCAUCCAGCUCGAAACCCUUCCCACCUGUUUGCACCUGGGUUUGGCUUCCCGAGCCGAAAGCCGGGCAGCCGGUUUUUUUCCCCUUAAACUUCUCAUGACUUCAGCUCAGCGUUUUUUAAAGGGAAAAUUAAAGGGAGCGCGCUGGUUCCUGCAGCCUGCGGAUUAGCGCUGCGCUGCCGGGUGAGUCGGUCACCGCCCCGCGGCACAGCGGCCUCCCUAGCUGGGACCCGGUCUGCAAAGGGCAGCUUUGAUCAGCACGUAACACAGCGGAGCACCAGCGGCCUGGGGACACGGCAGGGCAUGGUGACGGCCUCCCGGCCCCCCCUACCCCCCCCGGCCGGGUCUGCCGAGGAGCAGAGCCUGUAGCAGCCGUGCCGCGCUCGCCGGUCACCGCGCAUGGAGGCAGAGGCACGCCGAUAGCCGCAGCACCGGCCUCGCGCUCCACGACACGAGCCGCAAACCCGCAGCGCCCCGUGUUUGCGCGUCCGCGUAGCUGUGGGUUGCUCUUAAUCGGGGAAAGGCGGCCGAAGGAAGCCAUGUGCAGCGGCGUCAAGUACCCUUUUAGGAGUGGGAGCUGCAUGUGUGCACGGUGAUUAAAACAGCUGCGGAGCAGGGCACGCCGGUGACUAAUGGGCUCUUUCUGCGGGCUGACACGCCGUGUCCUGCAGCCCCUGGUGUCCUCAGAGAGGCCCAUGAAGCUCAGUUUGGCCAAGACCUCCUAAAGGCCCAGGCUGUUUGCUCGGCUCUUGUGGUCCCUGUGGUGCAGGGCAGCUGCACCCUGAGGCCGGAAUCACCAGGCAGGUCCAAAGUGUGAGUUACGUAUGAGGAGCCACAAGCCAACGCGGGCCAGCGCUUGCUGCUGCCGCCUUGGCGGUGCCGAGCCGCCUGCCAGCCGGGCGCCCGGGAAGCGGCACGGUGCGGACGGGGACGGCGUCAGGAAAACGGAGAGGCGCCGGAAUACCUGCUGCCGUGGUGGGCUCGUGCGGCCCGAGAUUAACGUGUGCUGCUCAGCGGCCUCGCGACAAACGAGUGCAAGGUGUUAAGGAAGGAAGCGCUGGUGGCACAGAGCCGGCUGGAGCAACGCGGAGAGAGCAAACACGUGGGCGCGUGUGUCCCCCCCGCCCGCUCCCAGCCCGGUUGAUGCCGUGCAGACACGCUGGCUUGUUUCCAGGCCGUGGCCUGGAGCAUCCCGCCAGGCUGGCCACCGGCAGGGAGGAGGCACCACGAAGCCGAGCAGAGGACAAGGCACAACAGGACAAGGCACACCGGGACAAGGCACACCAGGACAAGGCACACCAGGACAAGGCACACCGGGACAAGACACACCAGGACAAGGCACACCAGGACAAGACACAUCACAGCAAGACACACCAGGGCAAGACACACCAGGUCAGUCCUGUUCUAGAGCGAGGAGAAGACUGGAAAGGACAUGAGCAGGGAACUUUUGGGAAUUCCUCAGGUUUUUCCAGCUGCAGAGUAGGGUGAAAACUAUCAGCUAUAAAAGCAUUACAGUUGAUGCUGUUAAACAAAUCAUCAUUUGUCAACAGGCAGCUGAAUUAUAUGCAAUCCAGCCAACAGAGCCAAAACUGAUUCCCCCCCCAAUACUAUUGUACAGUAACAGCUGGCAAAAACCUGGCAAGCAGGGCUGGGCCGGGCUGCUGGAUGAGCCGGGUCGCGGGAUGAGCCGGGUCGCGGGAGCGGCUGCCGCCCGUGCAGGAAUGCGCUGUACAAGCGCUUGCUAACAGUCGCUGAACAGGCGGUGCAACUGCCCGAUGAAAAAGUACUAGAAAAAAUGUUAUUUAAGUAAGACACAGAUUUCCUAGGAUUAGCAAAAGAACACAUCAGGUUUUAGGCCCAGGACUACGCAACCCCCAGCAGCAAACGUGAGCGUUUCUUUGCAGGCGUUUUAUUCUUAUCGUGGGUAAGAGGAGGAAUGUGUGUGUCUGCGAGAGGCUGAGUGCGGGGCUGCAGCGCGGUGCGAGUGACGGAUCGGCCGGAAACCUGGAGUAGAUUAAAUUAGGGGGCUAAAGGCUGAAUAUUAAAACAUUUCAAACUUUGGAUUCUUUAAAGCAGCAACUAUGGGAUAAUGAAGCAGCCUGACAAAAUUAGCAGGUCCAGAGUGCGAAAGGGCUCGGCUACGGGGGACUCGUUUAUUGAUGGAGAUUUAAAAGGAUUUUUUUAUUAUUUUUAUUAGUAGCUGUAUAUGUCAACAUGCUGUUUUCUCAGUGCAUUUUGAGUCCAGCUUAGCUGAAGUUUUAGGUGUUGGCAGACUCGCUACAAUAGAAGGGAAAUGCCAAUGGAAUAACUUUAAACAUGAUCCAAUCCCUGAUGAUUCAUGGGAUGUGUUAAAGUUUCCUUUGAGACCAUGUAAGUAAUGCGGGGCCGGGAGCGCAGCGCGCCGGUGACUCAGCUCCGCGCGGCCGCGGGAGGAUGUCGGGAUUACUCACGGGGACAGCAGGAAUCUCAUUUAGCUAUUUAUAGGCAAGGCCGCGAUGAGCUCGGACCAUUAAAGAGCUGAGUUUGCCAGUUCCCAUGGGGGGCGGGGGCUUGUUUUAGCUGGUGAAAUAAAAGCUUCGGUAUCAGCCUCUCGUCUUUUCAUUUCCAUUUUCGAGCCCGCCGGCUCCGGCCGCGUUGCCUUGCCCUCGGCCCCGCGACCAGGAAGCUGCCGACGCCGGGCCGGCGGCUCCUCGGCACCGUGUCCGCCGGGUCGGCUCCGGCUCGGGAGGGGGGGGCUGGUGGCGUUUUGGGGUGAAGAGCACGAGCUCCGACCCGCAGCAGCAUGUUUUAGCGGCCCUGGCUCCGUAACGGCACCCCUCGCUUUCCAGGGAGGCAGGCGCUCCGUGCCUGGCCGCGGUGCUCCCUCGCCGGGAAGCCUCGGCGGCGUUCCUCGGGGCUGUGCCUUGCGGUGCCGGCUCCCUGCCCACCAGCCGGGGACAGGGGACGCGCCAGCCCUGAGCCAGGCCCCACCGCUGCAGCCAGUUACAUCAUAGCCCACGUUUUGGCAGGCUCCUCCAGCGCUUCAUUUCAGAUCUCCAGCCCUAAUGUCAUUUGUUCUUGUGCCAGCAGCGUAAUUUGGUUUGAACACUUCUCUUUUUCCCUCUGAUCUUCACCUAUCAGCUAUAUUUACUGCAAACAAGCCUAUCUCCUCGCAUCUUUGUUUCGAGGCACUAAAAUGAAGCUCUCCUGGUCUCCCCUUGUUCUGAGCCCUCCGCUCAUCCUCAGUGCCCUGCUCUGCACCCGCUAUUCCUCCUCCAACGCGAGGGACCCACGUCUCCUCGGACUGCGUCGGCCUCCCCGCAUCAGCCGGGGGCUCACGGUCCUCCCUGCGAGCAGCCAGGUCUGAGGCUUUUCCCCACCAAGUGAGUAAUGGGAUAUUCUAGUUAGUCAUGUCUAAGUGCCCGUCUUCAUACUUUGUCUACUCCGUUUCAGCCAAAUUCUGCCGUUCGGCGACUGCCGAUUGCUACGCUGAGCCGCCUGCGUGUUGACGACGCCCGCGUCCUCGGCACCGCGGUCCCACUGCCCUGCCAGGGCGUUAGCGAAGCGAGUGAGCCCCAUCUCGAGCCUGGCCCUCGAGGAGCUCCACUUACCGAGUGCCGUGCGGGCUAGUGUUUCCCUGCCACCGAGCUCCCUGUCAGCUCCGCUUUAGCAGCUCUGCACGCACCGUCCGCGCUAAUCCCCGGCUUCUCAACUUCGGCUAGUAAUUUCCCAUGUGGCACAGUAUCAGAUCCUCCGCUCAAGUCUGGCUGGAGUAAAUCACCUGUGUUUCAUUUGUCUAGAAAAAAAAUCCGUCAUCAAAGAGAAAUACCAGGUUAAGCUGAACCUAUUUAAUGUGCCAGCUCUUUCCAAACCCGGGGUGGAAAUCUGCCAGCGCACCUUCAUCUGAGCGUGCUGGAUUCGCUAAGCCUUUCCUGCCGGCUUCCACGCCAUAGUUUUCCUUCCCUUAUGUACGUUCCCACUGAAAAUCCUGUCUCUGCCCUGCCGUUCAAUAUGAUCGCCUCUACUGAAAAGCCGAAACCUGCUGCCAUCUGUUUUAAUUUCCUUUUCAAAGUCUAAAGCAACUUUACUUUUGACACUUCUCAUCCUACCGCUACAUUUGCUGACCUUAGCAAAUUAAAGCCGGAUGACUGAAGCAAACGCUGCCUCCAGUCUCCUGCCCCACCACCCUUCUCUCAUGCCGCCCUUGUGGCCCAGAUGAGGGGACAACUCCUAAAGCAGGUCCGGAAUCGCUGGGCUGAACCCGGCACUGAGCCGGCCGCUGUGCGGGAGCUGCUCGGAGAGCUGCUCCGUCCGGCCUGGGCGGCGGUGGUGGUCUCCAUCCAAGGGCAAAGCAGAUGGUUGCUCCCGACAGUGCUUCCCCUCCAGAGAGCUGAUGUCAGCCCGGGGUUGCGUGAAAGCUCACACCAUCCGCCCUCGGAGCACCCGCUUGCCGGUCAGACCUGCCCCGGCCUCGCAGGCUCCCACUAACCCCCGCAUGUGUUUGGGGCGGGGUAUUUACCCCACCAGGUUUGGAGCCGCUCGCGGCAGGGUUCAUCCUCCUGCUUGUCCCAGCUAGUUUUGGAACCCCAGUUUCCAUCACAUUCAGCUCCUCAGCACAGCUCACGCUGCUAAUUAGGUCCCUUAAUUCCCCAAUAUUUGCCCUUUCUGAGAUGAGCGUGCUGUGGUGUGCGGGUCCGGACAGGGCUGGAGACUCAGCCCUAACGAGGUGCCUUUAAAAGCUCCUGCUUCUAAACCAGAGUCUUCAGAGGCUCUGGUGGACUCAGCCCAUUGCUUUAGGGGUGGUGGAAGAUCUCCCCUUGCCUUCCCGUGUGUGACGCCCAUCAUCAAAGCGCAGCGUUAAUGGCAUGAGAAAACACGAGUAUCUCUGUUUCAUGGACGACUGAGACACCAAGAGCCCAAAGACCAAGUUUCAAACGAUGCUCCGCUGUGUGGAGACUUAAUUAAGUAGCUCAGGUGACCUCCCGAGCUCCUGCGCGCACGGAAAACGGAAAAAGGAAGAGACGAAACGGAAGAGCAAAGCAAACUCCCCUGCUCUCCCUCGGCCUCUCCCUCUUGCUCCUCUCCGCUCCCCUCUCUUGAAGGCGCUUUGCUGGGGGGCAGCGUGCCCCCCCCCAGGCCAUGCCAGCCCCGCGUGGCCCCGCUCCGCUGGGCACCUACUGCCCUUGGCACUGGCACAGGGCUCAUGUGGUUUUCCAGAAGAGUAACCUCCUUGUGAACAGGCUCCCGGCUCCGGGAGACACAAAGCCGGCUUGUCUUCCACGUGUCCGAGGCUUCUUUCCACGUCUGUUUAUCCCUUCACUAGCAUUUAUUUUUGGCCCUGCAAGAAAAACACGACUCCACAUUAAAGGGACGGCGUCCAGCUGCGAGCCGCAGGCUGCACCAGCCCUUUGCUCCCCGGGCAGGAGGCAGGGCAGGAGCCCGCGAGCAGGGCGAGCGCUAGGGAAGUCGCUGGCCCGGUGGGCACAGCACUGCUUUCCGCAGAGGAAGGGGCAGGGCAGCCUCGGAGGCACGCAGCACUGGUCAGACGGGACGCGGCUGGAUGGCCGAGGCGUGUUCUGCCUCCGGGCUCAGCACGCAUGGGGCCACGUGGCCGUCUGUCCCGGCACGUCCCUCCAGCUGGGGUUACCGGAGGAGCUCAGGGCAGCGGGACACCCCCGUUCCCCGACGCGGGAUUCGGUUGUGCAGCUCUUCGGCAAUCCCGGCCCCUGCAGCACGGCGCGUAGCCGUGUGACCGGGUCGGGACAGCGUGCGACGCCUCGCCUGCCCUGGCUCCGCAGCCUCUCGCCUGGAGAGGGCCGGUGCGUCCCGGCGCGGCUUGCUGUGCUGCGGGGAAGAGCUUGGGGGGCUGCAGGGCAUCCCGGCCUCCCGGGAUGAGGCCAGGGCUGGUGGGAAGCCACGCCGAGCCGCCCAGGCCACCCGUGGCGCGUGCUCACGUGUUGGACUCUGCAGCGGAGAGGCCCUCACGCAGCCAGUGCCCGGGCGGCUGCCGGAGGGCUCGAGGAGCCACAGCCCAAGGCGUGAAGCUCGGGGCAGCGCUCCUGCGUCCGCAGCGUGUGCUCAAGCCCAGCGUUCCCCCGGGGAGAGGAGGAGGAGGCGAGCCGGGCGGCAUCACGAGCGCGUCACGCUGAAUUUGCAAGGGGGACUAAGCUCACCUUGGCACCGUCCGUGUUCUGGGCCACCCGGCAGCCCUCGGCAGCCACGUCAGGCGGCGGCAGUGACCUCCCGCAGCGCAGCGCGUCAGCCGGGCCCCCGAGAACAGACCCCACCAGCGCCGGCUCCGGGGAGCAUCACCCAGCAGCCACCCCGGCCCCGGUUCACCUCGCUCCUACAUCAGCCCCUCGCCUUCGUAACGCCACUGACUCCCAUAGAAUCGGAGCUGGGGGGGGGCCGCAACCCUUGGCCACGAUGGAGACGGACACCUCCGGAGGGGCUGUGCCUGGCUUGCACGCUCAGCCAGUGCUGCGUGCGCGGCUGACGUUGGCGAGGGGCACUUUGAGGAGGAACGAACUGCUUUUUCAUUGCUGAGCAUCUCCCUCCAGCCAUAAGGGGAGCCCCCGGGAUGCUGGUGACAUAUUGGUGCUGUCGUCGGAGAACAGCGGGGGCGAGGGCCUUACACCGCUGAACGGCAUAAACAACCCUCGCCCCUGAACAGCACCUCAGUCCGGACCCAGGAUUUACAAACGCAGAGAUGGCCACAGGUGGGCUGUUCUCCCAUUAGCCCACGAAUCCAGCAAGAGAAAGAAUAAGCAAUUUUGUACUUUUUCCUUUGCAUAUAAAAGUAUAAAUUAUUUUUAAAAAAAUCAUUAAAAAUAAUUAGAAAACCAGAUGCAUUGUAUCAGUGACGAGCAAAUUAAGAAUUCAGUGGCGGUUGUUCAGGAACUCGCAGCCUCCUUGCAAUACCAAUAGUGAUUAUUUAUCGCCUGCUAGGCAGGGAAAUCAGUCCAGAGAAGGUGACUGGCUAUAAUGCAGUAGGGUCACCCAAGGGAGACGUCUGGCGCGAGGUGCAGGCAGCCAAGACACCAUUUUCUUGUCUUGAAUUAGGAAGCUUUUGUGAGUAGCGCCUGCAGGUUUGGUACAGAAUGUCCUGGUUCCUCUGCAACACACGCUCAUUUUAUUCCUGCUGACUUUCCUUGACGUUACCCCUGAUUUACACCUAAGAGCAGAGGCAGACCCAUGCUGCCACUUCAUAUGUACCUCCUCAGCUGUCUGUCCGCGGGGACGUGCAGCUCUGCAGCAGGAGCUGAGAGACGAGCCGCUCGUCCGCAUGCUCUUACCGCGGCCCCUGGACACGCGACGUGCUGUACGGGCACGCGGUGGGAAAGUCGCUGCCCUUGGAAGGGGCUGACAAGGAAAACGCGCAGAAGGCGGGAGGUGAAACAGGGCCGCAGAGAGAGCGGGAGCUGCCCGGCGUCACGUGCGGGCGACGGAGCGAGGCAGGAGCAGAGCCCGUCUCUCGGCCCUGCCUUUCGCCCUUUCUAUUCCUGCACGUGGAUGCGACUUAUCUUUAACUAGAAGCUCAAUCCAGACAAAGCCCUGUUUUCCUUCCCAGCAAGGAAAUCUCGCUGAUAGAGCUGAGGAGCAUUGGGUUUUCACCACCACUAAGGACUGCCCAACUGGUCCAACUUCACUCCUGUUUUCUCUAUAGAGUCAGAUUGUACUAGUCUGGUCUUAACAAAAAGAAAUGGGGAUUAAAUGCAAUAUAUUCUGAAGCCGUGAAAAGUCCUAGCGACAGCCGAAAGGGAAGUGGAAUUCAUAAACGCCUCUUUCAUCUUUCUCAAAUUACUACUCAGCGCCGUUACAUUCAUUAAUAACAACAUCCCUUAAACCAUGUUGUGAAAAUCCAUUAGCAAUAAAUGCCCGAAAACGUACGCCAGGCUGGAACAGAUGAUUUAUUGAAGGCUCAAACAAUUAAAUGGUAUAAGAGCAGAGUGUGCAUUUUUAUGGACUGUUGAGCUUGCCAGAGGGCUGUUAUGAUACAGGCAGAAGUGGACUGUUGCAUGGUGGAACUCAACUCUUCUCCUGAAUUCAGUCCUCUGCAUCAGCGAGGGGAAGCACAGCUAAUAGCAUCCUCUGAGUUCUUCCUCAUCUCGGGUCCCUGCGUACCGCCCCGCAUCCCGCUGCUGAUGGCCGUGGUUGCCCCCGCGGCGUUUGCCCCGGGCCGGGCUGCUGCUCCGAGGGGCUCCGAGGGCGCCGCGAUGGCCCCGCGCGGGAAGGACCCCGGCGGGAGCCGUGCAGCCGGCCCGGGAGCGUCGGGCCCACCAGGACGGCCCGGAGGCGAUGGCCGCGCUGCCUACCUACGCGGGCCAAGCGCGGGCAAGCGCAGCCACGCAUGGCUGGUGCUGAGCCGCCAACGCGUAGCUCCUGGGGGAGAAAGGAACAGAAGAAUGACGAGCGCAUUUACAGCCCGGGACGUCCAGCCGGAGAGCUUGCGGCUUGCGGGCUGGCGCAGAGGGAAAGGCGAAAAUCUCCUGGGAGCAGCGACAGACUGUGUGGCCUGAGAUACGGAGACGUGUGUCACUGCUCGAGAUGGUCGGCUCGCCUCGUCCAGCCAGACGAAGGCUGGUGAGACCACACCGGGCAUCUCUCCGGCACAGCCGCGCUUGGCUGCAGCGUCCCCCCCGCCCCGGUUCGCUGCCCCCUUCCCUGCUCCGGACCCCCAGCGAGGGAGGAAGGGGCUGGACGGGGAGAGGACGGAGGAGGCAGCGGCUGCUGCCCGGGAGGGCAGGAGGGGAGCGGGGACGGGGGCGAAAUGGAUACCCUUCCCCUCCGGGAGGGUGGGCUGAGCCGAGGUGAGCAAAAACGGGCAAAAAUGGAAGGGAGGAAGGCAGAGAAGAAAGAUGGAACGAGGGAGACCAGAGCGGGCAAGGGGCAGCAGCGGCUGGGGGGGGCGGCGAAGGCUGGGGCUGGCGGGGAAGAGCGAGCAGGGAGAAAAACCGUGAGGAACACUGCAAAAGGCAGAGAGCGUAUAAAAAUUGGCAUAUAGGAGUGGCAGGUACCAGCGGCUGUGAGCAAAACCCCGGCUCACUUACAUCAACCCAUGGAUGUGCCACCAACGACGGGAUGGGUCCAUCUCCACUCGAGCAGGGGCACAAGGCAUCCGCUUUCGUGGCCGAAGGGCGACGUUUGGCUCGCCGGCACGGCGUGUUUGGCUUGGCUGUCGCGGCUCCGGCGCUGUUAUUAGAGUAAGCAAUAAAAACGCAUUAAAUACUAGCAACUACAUUAAAACAACACGGAGCCUGCAAUGCAAACCAAAAAAAGCAAGGGGCUGAGCGCGGAGGCUGCCGUCCCCCUUGGCCGUCCGCGUCGGCGGAGCCGGCGGUCGCGGCACGUCGGGGAGGCGCGGGAGCUGCACCCCGGCUCGGCGCUGCCCUGCUCGCCGCGGGCUGCUCGGGGCCGAACGGGGGCAAAUACUCUGCUCUGAUGCCAGAUGCCGGUGCAGAAGUGCGGAGCCCCCAAACCGACGGCUCUGCCAGCGUUUCGCUCCGGUGCAACGCGCCCCGAGGCGACGGGUGCCUGUCCCCAGCCGUGCCUCCCCCAGCCUCGUGCAAACCAGCGUUAAACACAAGCGUGUGUGCUGCUGGGCAUCCAACUGCUCCUCCUCUGCGGGUUGGGUUGCCGCAACGUGUUGCCAGCUGCCAGCCGGCCCCUGCAGCGCGGCGGCCGCGGGGAAGGGAGCUGAGCUGCUCCCGGCCGGCAACCGCCGGCACCGCGCCGCAGCGGGGCCUCUGCCAGGCUGCAAGCACCGACGCUCAACCUGGCUGGUCACAGCUUGACCUUGAAAUCCUAGUUCACCUCAACAGCGCGUCUUCGCACGCUGCUACAAUUAGUUGGGUGCAUUUCAGUUCUUCCGCCGCUUGCCCAGGGCUUCUUGUGCAAAAGCAGGUCCCACUCCGCUGCAGCUCUUGGCAAACCUCAGGGCUCAUUUCCCACCAGAACCUCGCCUCGACCUUGCUGCUGCUCGUACCCUCAACAAGCGGGUGCCUCGGCAGCCCAGCCACGAGGUUGCUCGGUCUUGAAGAACCUGGUUUCACCGCACUGAUCUGCAGUGUGAUGCCCAAAAGCCUCAUCCGCCAGCUCCUCCGGGGAAGGAGAUUUGUUCCUUAGGGACAACCCCCCACACAGGUCGAAGUAUUUAACAGUUGUGACCGUGUGUGUCCAACCCCUUGCAGGCUGGUCAUGCUUUAGUGGCAUCUACCAAAGACCUCCAGAUCCUGUGAGCUGUUCCCUGCAGCAGCGUGGAAGAUUUCACCCCCUUUUCUCUCUAGCAAACGGCUCCCAGAACGACUCUGCAACGCUGCUGUCCCCUCCUGCGACUUGCUGCGGCGCUCCGGCCAGAUGGGACUUCCACGCCUGCCCUGUUUUUGCCCAGCCAUCGUUUUCUUUCGACCACAUCAUAAAGGAGAGAUUCCCCCACCCACGGGGAGGCAUUGAGGGAGGUCAGAAGUUACAUGUCUGCCGCCUGCCCAGGCCGGCGCUUGCUGCUCUACCCCGGCUUUCGCAGCUCUAUCAGAUUUCUUGGUUUCUCCUUUGGCCUCGAGGUAGGACUCCUGGGAUGCUGCGAUCCUUCGUCUGCCCAUUUGUUAACGUGGUUUUAGCCACCGUUGCAUCCUCGCGUUUCUUCCGUACCCUGAACCCCACAAGGGUACGCGGUGCUUGGGCGAAGGGCAAGGUGGACGAGGAGGGUGCCUAAGCGUUACCGCGACACGGGGAGAGCGGCGCGAGGCUCAGCCCGGCAGACGCGGCGGGCGCGUGGGGCGACAGCCCUCCGUCAGUGCCGCCGUCGCUCCUGCUCCGGGACGCGGCUCCGCGGAAGCGGUGCGAGCUGCGGAGCUGCAUCGCCGGCUUGAACAAUGUCAGCAUGUCCCUUCGAGGGCGUUCGCCCCCCCACGCCACGAAACGCCGAGUUAUUAUUUAACAGCAGACCUCACACAGAGGAAUGUUUUUCUGUAUUCAUGACCUCUAACAAGUAUAGCAAUUGUUUACUACGCUGCGAGCGAUCCAGGAGGAGCUAUAAUGUGAUAAUUAUAGAGAAACCUUCCUAAAAAUAUAUUUCUGAUGCAUCAGCAAAAACUCAGCAGGCCCCUCCAGCUGGCACCGAACACACGAGCUCAGCCCAAACGGAGACGCAGAGCAUGCACUGCAUCGUGUGCAGCUGCGCGAAGGCUCCAGCGAAGAGGUGUGGGGCAGGCGCCCCGCAGUCACGGAGGGACGGGCACGAAGGAGAGGCAGGCGCGGCAGGAAACCCAGGCUCUGCUCUCCCUGCCUGAUGGCACAGGAAAAUAUUAGGCCCAUUUUCCAGACGGAUAAACUGAGGCACUGGAAAUCAGAACAUCGACAUUUUCAGAUCUGGCUACUGACUUGCCAGUAUCUGCUUUUAGAGGUCUUGCCCGAGUCCGAGCUGUGCCUGCUUCCCAGAACUGCCGAGCCUCUGGGUUUUUUCCUGGAGUGAGAUGAUUGCUUAUGAUUGCUUUAUUUUAUUCCUGUGCACUGGAAUAGCAUCUGGAGGCUCCGGCAAGAACCAGCUCCUCCCCGCGCUCGGUGGUAGCAAACCCUGACUCAUGUGCUCUGAGGAAGCAUCUACCAGGGCUUCAAACAUCACCUCGUUGCAGCAGAGCCACCAAAAAGUGACCAUUCUGCCAGCGGCGCCCCGGGCCCUGAGGCCGCCCUGAGCUCAUCACAGCUGCUUUAGCUAAUCAGGCUGUGACGGGGGAUGCCGGAGGCGCAGGGGCCUGCUUUCCUCGAACAGCAAUUUUGAGGAGACCGGCUAGAUCCUCCGGAGAGUCUCCAGGACCGACCCACUUGCAUGCCUCAGUUUCCCCACCCGCCGAAAGGCCGGAUCCCUCCACCCGGGGCCGUGUCCAGGCUGGGAAAACGCUUUCCGCACCUUCAACGACGGCUUCUGUGGCAGCACGAACUGUGAUUUAUUGCUUCAAUUAAAAAAGUGUGUGUUUUACAAUCCACAGCCUGUUUACACUUCCCCGUCGCACAGAUGCCUCCCCAGAGGGACCGCGGCUCCGGUGGCCGGUGGGUUUUGGCAGGGCCUGGCGAAGGAGCGGGCUCAGCAGCCCCUGUGCUGCACACAGCGCUUCUGUGCGACCGCGCCGGCUGCGUGUGACUUGCCUGAACUUGAACCGUCACCGCUGACUGAUCGGCGUCUAAAAAUACCCCGCGGCCGUGGCUGCGAGUCCAGGGAGCUCGUGUUGAUUUAGGUGGAGACCUUCUCGCCGGUGAGAGGCUGAGACGGACAUCUGACACCCGGGCUCUUCCGCCGGCCGCCCCAGCGCCGCGCUGAGCCGCUCCGGUGCCGGGGGACAGCGGUGACCCGCGGCAUGUCCCCAGCGAGAGGGGAAACGGGGAAAGAAAACGGGUAGUGGGGCCAGGCAGGAGCGCGGGAGCUGCGGGCUGGCCGAGGACGUCGCGGCGGGGCAGCGGCACCGCCACGGCAGGUCUCGGACCUUUCUCAUCACUUCUCUCCCGGCACCGAAGCCGACAAAAGACAAAGCAAGGCUCAGUCUAACACGUACACGGGACACUGCCGCGGCGCUGAACGCGGCUUAACACAGCGGGAUCUUUGCUAAAUGACACAUUGUAGUUGAGCUCAAGCCUAAAUAAUAAAGCCCACUCUGGGCUCCCUGGCAGACCACAGCUGCACGGCUGCCUGUGCACAAUCCCUGGAGGAGAUCGGACUUUCGACCAAAGAUUAGCUUUCCUUUCUAUAACGUCCUUCCUUGCGGUGCACCUAUGGAAAGUGGUCCUCUCGCGUCCCCUCGGGCGAGCACCCGCGUCCGCUUCGGGUGCAUCCUCCCCACCGGGGAGGGCGAGGGCGGCCGCGGCCGGGCGAAGGCUCGGCGGUCCCUCGCCCGCUGCCAGGAGCGCUGCCCGGCCUUGCUGGGAACAUCUUGCCUAAUACACGCCAUGAUCUCACUCGCCUUUGUGCUUGGUUUUAAAUAGGGUAUAAAGCAGGCUCGCCGCUAUUGCACUUCAUUUUAUUUUAGGGUUUGUUAUGUGGAAAGAGGAGGGUAGUUAAACUUUUUAAUUAAAUUCCUUUAAAUCUUUGAAAACAAUAAAGAAAGAAAGAUAGCAAACAAAGUAAGACAGAAGAAUUACCAUGUGUAUGAGCAGAGGUAUUUUUUCCCGUAACACAUUUAUAUAUAAAUCUCUUUUUCAAAAAAGUGCAA